AAAUGAGAGCAUCAAAAUCAUAAUUAAAUGAAGAAAAAAAAAAAUCCAAAUGUCAGGACAUGCGUCGGACACAGUGUUAUCUCCUGUACAUUCUUCAGUUUCUGCCAACAUCUACAAACUGCAUCACCAUACAGAGAACUGACCAUAAUUAAUAUUAAACACAUUUUCUUCAACAUAAUCCAAUAUAAGAAUAAAUUAGUGUGCUAGACCACGGAUCCUUCUAGAGAAACUACCCAGCCAGCAUCUGUUGGUGGGACACGUAUAGGUCCAGUACUUGAAUGCGGGUCACGGUGACCGUCUGUGCUUCAUACAAUCAGUCCAACCCUGACCACUUUCACCCAUGUGUGACCCACAUGAACAGUCCAUGUUGGCUGGGUGCUGACGACAGUAAAGAACAUUACAAUGUUUCAUGCAACAGUGAGAGAAAACGACACUAGAGAAAGUAUCAAACAUGCAGAGAGCAAAGAGUUUGGACAACUCUUGGUUUACCAUAAAAAAUAUUCUCGUGGACGACCGUCUCACAAAGCAGCAAAUUCAGAAAACUGAUACACGUUCAUCGACGUAAGGGAACUCAAAUAUAGUUUAAGGCACAAACAAAACCAAACGGAAAAAUAAAUAAGGAGCAUUUCUGGUCUUCAACAAAACAUGGUCCACAUGUGAUGUCUGUACAAAGUAGGGCUGUCAUUUUUUAACAAAACUAAGGUUAACCUGACUUCUGCUCGGACAUGUCUGAAUAAGUAAGGUAAAGCAGCAGAGGGCGCUGUAUGCGCAACUCGGCUUUUGUCCCUUUUUUCGAUCAUUAGUUUAAGUAGACAGAGACAUGAGUUUGUUUUUUGCUGUAGAAAUUGUAUUAGUAAAUGUAUUAGUUAUUCUGAGCAGCCAAAAUGACCCUAACGGAUCAAAGAAUUAUUUCCUUGGGUGGAACUCCUCAAAAGUGGAGGUAAAAAUGCACAUUGAAAAAAUUCAAAAACAAAAACAUCUUUAGUGAAGAUCGAAAAUAAAAUGGAUUUGGUGUAAGGUUGGUUAUAAAUCUGACUUUUACUCAGGUUAUCAAAUUCGUUAUUUUAAAAGGCAAAAAUACCUGAUCAAAUAAAGUAUUACGCAGCUUGAAGCUUGACAAAGAUGUUGGAGACACCCGAGAGACGUAGCCUAACCCUAAAGUUUUGGUAACUGAAAAUAAAAAUCCAGGCAGGUUUUGAAAUUACAACAUCUUUUUGACUUACACUUAGAUUAAUGAGCAUGUGCAAAAACAAAACAGCUAAUCAUACGCUAACGUAGGUCCUACAACUAACCUUCUAAUGUUCACGACGUCAUGUAAAUUUAAUGUGACCUUGAUCUUCAGGUAAAAUGACAGCCCCAGUCUUUAAGGUAAC